ACCACUAAGCUUUAUGCUUAGCGCAUCGCUUUUUGUCACGCGUAGGUACUGGAGAUCAGGAUAGAGAGCCCAGUAGACCAUAUAUUGGGAUUUUUGAGAGACCAAAUCUGCACUUGAGUCUGGUGUCACUUCCUCUGCAGUGCAUUUUGGUAUGACCUGCUAGACUUCAUCAAAUAUUUUGUAUUUUGUAUUUAGAUAUUAAAUUUGUCAUGUAAACUAUAUACUCAUGCAAUUAUUUGUAAAUCAUGUAAAUUAAUG
rnacentral:misc_RNA from 1 species